CAGUAGCCACGGUAAUACGGAGGGUGCAAGCGUUAAUCGGAAUUACUGGGCGUAAAGCGCACGCAGGCGGUCUGACAAGUCAGAUGUGAAAUCCCCGGGCUUAACCUGGGAACUGCAUUUGAAACUGUCAGGCUGGAGUCUUGUAGAGGGGGGUAGAAUUCCAGGUGUAGCGGUGAAAUGCGUAGAGAUCUGGAGGAAUACCGAUGGCGAAGGCAGCCAUCUGGCCUAAUACUGACGCUGAGGUACGAAAGCAUGGGGAGCAAACAGGAUUAGAUACCCCUGUAGUCCCUGUCUCUUAUAC
rnacentral:rRNA from 1 species